rnacentral:rRNA from 1 species
GACGUAGGGUGCGAGCGUUGUCCGGAUUUAUUGGGCGUAAAGAGCUCGUAGGCGGCUUGUCGCGUCGACCGUGAAAACUUGGGGCUCAACCCCCAAGCCUGCGGUCGAUACGGGCAGGCUAGAGUUCGGUAGGGGAGACUGGAAUUCCUGGUGUAGCGGGUGAAAUGCGCAGAUAUCAGGAGGAACACCGGUGGCGAAGGCGGGUCUCUGGGCCGAUACUGACGCUGAGGAAGCGAAAGGCGUGGGGAGC